AACGCCGCAUAUAACUGUCAGUCACGUAUGCACAAAUGACGGAUUUUAAUUUGAUAACAACAAACAGAACUGUGUUGAUAAGCAAUGACUGAUGUUGCGGUAGACGUUUCGGGUAACAUUGAAGUACCCCCCGAGAAACAGUCGAUACAACCCUCGAAAUUUCUACCGUUUCCCACGCAACUACCUCAAGCGAAAGAAUGGGUACAGCAGCGACGCCAGAACAUACGUCCAUGGUUGCAGUUCGUGCAGACUUCCAACUUCAAAUUUCCGCAGUCGUUACCGAGAUUGAGCCGACGGUAUAUGAGAAACAUAGAGUACUUUCAAAGCAAUUACAUAUUCGUUUUCCUGAUACUUAUAGCGUAUUGUCUGAUCACAUCGCCCUUAUUGUUAUUUGCGCUCGCCGGUAGUUUCUUCGUUGGCUAUAAAUUGUCGAUGCGCCAUGCGGAGGGGAAGAAAGUAAUAGUUUUCGGACACGAGUUGGCUCUGGCUCAGCAAUUUGGUAUUCUCUCAAUAUGUUCAAUGCCGGUGUUUUAUAUCGUUGGAGCUGGUGCGGCGAUGUUUUGGGUUUUAGGUGCAUCGUUUUUCCUAAUUACUUUACACGCAGUAUUUUACAAUAUCGAUGCUGUUGUUGAAGAUGAAAGCAGUUUCGGUUUAAUGGAGAAUGUUUAGAUCUCUAAUUUUUUCUCAUCAUUUUUAUGAUUUUGUAAAUUCCUAAUGUUUAUUCAUUACUGAGUGAAGACGGGUGGCAUCUUCAUGGUGUAUAAAUAAGGUUCUUGGAUACGAAAGAUGGAAUUGUGAUAAUCCACCCUUACGGUUAGGCAACACACCGUUGCAUCUGAAACAAAAAUAUGAUGUCCUCUGUAUAUAACUAAACGACCGUUUUGCGCAGAUGCAGAAUAGUAGAGGAUUUUCGUAACGAAGCUAGGGGAAAAAAGAGCGUGGCUGAAGAGGAAAGAUGGCGACGGAGUCGUCGGAAAGCAUCACGCGUUCCCGGAUUUUAUUCUUUAUUAUUUUGGUUGUGGUGUUUUGCUCGUAGUUUUUUCCGAGUUGCCAACGGUCAAGACGCGCAUUCAUGGUAUAGGAAGUUACAGCAAUUGGCAAUGGCCCAAAAGGUGUAGAUGAAUUUUCUUUACGAUCCUGCCAGAUCAAUUGGAGUUCUGUACUGGCCGUAUACGACUUCAGCGUUCCUUAGAAGUUAAGGUGGGUCUUUGUUGAUAAUGGAUAAAUUACUUUGGAGAUAGGAGUUCGGCAGUGUCAGCGAGGCGUCAGUGGAGUAUUUUACUUCGUGCUUUGCGCCACAUUAAUUGGCUAUCGCCCAAGUCGGUGAUAGAAAACAAUGUACAUGAAAAAUGAAACG